UUUCCCCUUUCUUACCCCAAACUCACACUUCACCCUCCCAAACACCCACACCUUGGCAAGCAACAAGCUGUUAGCAGAACCAAAAACAUACAUUUAUCGGUCCAUCUGUAAGAUUUGUCUGCAGGAGCCACAGAAUAUACAGUAUAUCUACUGUAUCUACAGCAUCCUCCUCCUCUCCAUUUCUGACUUAACUGGCUGUGCCCUGCAGUGGAAGGUCUCCAGGGUGUUAAGGUCCACGCAGGGAGUUAUUCCCACAGCAAUGCUGCGGAGCGAGCUGUCACUGGCUCAGCAAACAGGAGGCACAGAGGCUAAACGCCUGUUCCUGCCAAGGGAACAAGGAAGCAGAGGAGAAAAACGAUGGACAGGAGCAAAAGGCACAUCACUGCCUCCAUCAAGUUCUAGGAAAAGAUGGAUUUUUACAACCCUUUGCUUUAAGAAGUGCUGAAAAGAAGCCAUACCUCCUCUCGGGCACAGUGGAAGCCAUCUGACACGCUCCAUUACGUUGUGCUUGUUCCAAUUAAAGUUGACACCAUUUGCUGUCAAGAGCAUGGUGAUACCCUGCAGAAAGGGGAACACUAACUUGGAGGCCUGAAACAGCAGACUGACCACGACGAAUCUAUUUGGCUCUCAAAACAGCUGAGUAAAAGUUAAUCAGCAGCCUCCUUCUUUUUUCCUAUCUAUCUAUCUUUGGCUCCCUUGAUGUUUAGAUAAUCUGUAAAUAUAUUUUACUUUGCAAGCAUGUCAUAUUACCUGUAUCAACUUUCAGACUUUAACUGUAUUUUCCGAUGCUUUUCGGUGAAGCUACUUUUAGAAAAUUCAUCCAUGGUGACUGUUUACCUAAUUUGAUUUGACUGGAACUUUUCUCUGAACGUCUCAUCAAGCAGAGUAAUGUUAAUGUACAGAAUCAGGGGACAGUAGAGCCCCCAUGAAAACUGUCUGUUGGGCACUCAAAGCAAUGAGGCUGAGAGAAAGUUAAUCAGAAGGCCCCUCCUUUAAUGAAAUGACCCCAAGUAAAGUUGUGGAGAAGCUCAAUAUGUUUCCUCUACAGCGGGCUGCAGUCCACCGACCACCCAGAACCAAUCUGAGGCUUAUGACGGCGGUGGGGGAGAAGAUACAUUAGGCCUCCCUCCAGUGGGUAAUGAAUGGAACUAAUAGGAAUAGGCAAUCCUGGUCCACACAACUAAUAUAUUUAGAAAAAUACUAGAUGCAGCCUCUGUUGUUUGUUCCUAAAGCAUACUGUGAUGCCAGCUUCGAACUUCUUCUAGUUCCAAAAUGUAGCCAUUUUGAUCUUAAUAGCAAUCUGUGUAACUGAAAGUUAAUUGAAAGUGUAAAAUAAUGUCUUGACAUCAUUGGACAUAGCAAGCUAUAAAGUUAAAUUAUUUCUGCAAUGACUAAGAAUAGUGAAAUAUUUCAACAUAUCUCACAUGAUUGGCACAAAAUUUGGUAGAGACAUUCAUGGUUCCCAGAAGAUGUAGCUUCAGACUUUGGUGAUCCUGACUUUUCAUGCAGUGCCACCGUGAGGUUGACAUUUGUGUUUGAGUGUUAGAAAUGUCUCAACAACUAUUACAUGGAUUGCCAUGAAAUUUGGUAAGCUUACAGACAUUGAUGUUCCCCAGAGGAUAAAUUGUUAGAACUUUGGUAAUCUUUAAUAUAGUGUCAUCAUCAGGUCAAAAUUUUAAUUUGUCCAACACUUUGAUGUAUGACUAAAUACCUGCAAAACUAAUGACA